rnacentral:snoRNA from 7 species
CUGGCCCUCAAUCAAGGCCAACGGUUUGCUGUAGCCGUUGGUUUCAAACAGGAGCCCAAAGCAAUGCCUUCCUGCAGGAUGCCAGCUGAGCUCGGACACCCCCAGGGCACGGCUGGGCACCGGGGACGGACACGG